rnacentral:rRNA from 1 species
CGUGUGGGGGGGGAGAAAAAAAAAAGGGGGGGGGUGUUUUUUAUUUUUCCCCCACAAGGUGUUUUUUUUUUUUAUUUUUUUUUUUCCUUUGGAGGAAAAUUUUAUAAUUUUAAAAAAGGGGGGGGUUUUUGGGGUUUAUUCCCUUAAAAGGGAAAUGGAAUUUUUGGGUUUUUUGAUUUAGGUUUGUUUGGGGGGGGGGAAAAGGGCCUUCCCCAAGGGCUUACGGAUCCAGUAAGCUGGUUUUUGAAGAAGGAUGAUUCCAGCCACCCCUGGGGGUUGGGGAUUCGGGCCCCAGAUUCCUCCCGGGAAGGCAGCCAGUGGGGAAAUUUUUGGCCAAUGGGCGGAAAGCCUGACGCAGCAACGCCCGCGUGAUUGAAGAAGGUUUUGCGGAGUAUAAAGAUCUGUCAUUAGGGGAAGAAUAACGAGUAUUCUAACAAAAUACUCGUCUGACGUUACCUUAUAAGAAAGCCCCGGCUAACUUUCGUGCCAGCAGCCGCGGUAAUACGAGGGGGGCAAGCGUUAUCCGGAAUCAUUGGGCGUAAAGGUUUCGUAGGCGGACUGAUCAGUUGGAAUUGAAAGACCACGGCUUAACCGAGGGAACGGUUUCAAUACUGUCAGUCUUGAGUGAGGUAGAGGUAAGCGGAAUUCCUGGUGUAGCGGUGAAAUGCGUAGAUAUCAGGAGGAACAUCAAAGGCGAAGGCAGCUUACUGGGCCUAUACUGACGCUGAGGAACGAAAGCGUGGGGAGCAAACAGGAUUAGAGACCCUGGUAGUCCACGCCGUAAACGAUGAGUACUUAGUGAUGGGGGAUUCGACCCCUUCAUUGCUGGAGCUAACGCAUUAAGUACUCCGCCUGGGAACUACGACCGCAAGGUUGAAACUCAAAGGAAUUGACGGGGACCCGCACAAGCGGUGGAUCAUGUGGUUUAAUUCGAUGCAACGCGAAGAACCUUACCUAGGCUUGACAUGUUAGUGAAAGCUCUGUGAAAGCAGAGCCGUCUGCGAGCUUGCUCAAAGACGCUAUCACAGGUGAUGCAUGGCUGUCGUCAGCUCGUGUCGUGAGAUGUUCGGUUAAGUCCGAUAACGAGCGCAACCCCUAUUCUUAGUUGCCAGCACGUAAUGGUGGGGACUCUAAGAAAACUGCCCGGGAUAACCGGAAGGAAGGUGGGGUCGACGUCAAGUCAGUAUGUCCCUUACGCCUAGGGCUACACACGUGAUACAAUGGAGGGUACAAAGGGUUGCAAUGCCGCGAGGUGGAGCCAAUCCCAAAAAACCUUCCCAAGUUCAGAUUGCAGUCUGCAACUCGACUGCAUGAAGCAGGAAUCGCUAGUAAUCGUGAUCAGAACGCCACUGUAUCGCCUUCCGG